rnacentral:lncRNA from 1 species
GUUGCUACAAGCUGUAGAUUGUUUGGAAUUGAUCUUAUUGAUCAUACUAGGAACUCUCCUGCUAUAGAGAAAGCAUGUGUACAUUCUGAAAAUAUAUCCGAAAUCACGAAUGAGGGCUGCAUUAGAACCUUGUCCAAAACUGAUGCAGACCAUAAUUACGAUCUCUCAAAGGCAUCUAAAGAGAGGAAACAGGAACAGAUGCAAGCAUCUCCUAAAGAGACUCAAAGCAAGCAAAUCUGUAGCAGAAGUUGCACUAAGGUUCAUGCCAUAUUUUUAUUUAUUCUACAAAAAAAUGUUCGUAUUUAUACGAUAAACUUAAUGCUCUAAAGCCUAAUAAUUAGUAAAUUUUCUGAAGCCUGUUUGUGUUGAAGGUUCAAAUGCAGGGGAUCGCAGUAGGUCGUGCCGUGGACUUGACCAUGUUGGAUGGUUACGAUCAACUUAUAGAUGAAUUGGAGAAGAUGUUUGACAUAAAGGGUCAGCUUCAACUAAGGAAUAAGUGGGAAAUUGUGUUCACUGACGCCUUCGCUUCAACCAGCUGUCGUAAAAAAUAAGAGGCCUCGACCACCCAGUGAAAUUCCGGAUUUCGGUGAGGAAAUUUCUAUUUUAGUUCCUUCAAAAAAUUUAUAUUGAUUGAGUUAAUUACUCUUGACACUUAAAUAAAACUUUCAAAGUAGACACAACAACAGCUGCCUCAGCUUUCUGGGAUGCUGGGAUGACACCGUCCGAUUUAACACAACUUAAUGUUACGGCCGAAAGCAAAAGGAGUGACAGUAAUCAUAUGUGGCAUCAUAAGCAGAUUGAUAAUUGUAAAAACAGCUGCAAUGCUAUAUCAAGGAAUCAUGCACAAGGAAGUUGGCUAUCUUCUCCUCAUUCCAGUGUUCCUUCUCAUUUAUUUCAGGACCCGACCGAUGAUAGCAAGAGUGUAUCAGCUUGGCCUAAUUCAAAAACUCAUUCAGAAAAACUGAACAAUGAAAAUUUGCUUGACCAAGUUGAUAAGGAGAACAAAGUAGAGGUUGCUACAAGCUGUAGAUUGUUUGGAAUUGAUCUUAUUGAUCAUACUAGGAACUCUCCUGCUAUAGAGAAAGCAUGUGUACAUUCUGAAAAUAUAUCCGAAAUCACGAAUGAGGGCUGCAUUAGAACCUUGUCCAAAACUGAUGCAGACCAUAAUUACGAUCUCUCAAAGGCAUCUAAAGAGAGGAAACAGGAACAGAUGCAAGCAUCUCCUAAAGAGACUCAAAGCAAGCAAAUCUGUAGCAGAAGUUGCACUAAGGUUCAUGCCAUAUUUUUAUUUAUUCUACAAAAAAAUGUUCGUAUUUAUACGAUAAACUUAAUGCUCUAAAGCCUAAUAAUUAGUAAAUUUUCUGAAGCCUGUU